rnacentral:rRNA from 1 species
AAUCAACGCUGGCGGCGUGCUUAACACAUGCAAGUCGAACGCGGUUACUGCCUCUCCGCAAGGAGAGAUGGGUGACUGAGUGGCGAACGGGUGAGUAACACGUGGGUGAUCUACCUCUGAGUGGGGGAUAACGUUCCGAAAGGAACGCUAAUACCGCAUGACGUUCUGGGUUUGAAGACCUGGAAACCAAAGCUGGGGCCCUUAGGGCAACUUAAGGCCUGGCGCUUGGAGAGGAACCCGCGCCUGAUUAGCUAGUUGGUGAGGUUACGGCUCACCAAGGCGACGAUCAGUAGCCGGCCUGAGAGGGCGGACGGCCACACUGGGACUGAGACACGGCCCAGACUCCUACGGGAGGCAGCAGUGGGGAAUUGUUCGCAAUGGGCGCAAGCCUGACGACGCAACGCCGCGUGGAGGAUGAAGGUCUUC